CCAGCCUGCUUCUCCGCCGCCAAUUAAAAAAUUAAUUAGUUAAAAAAUAGUGUAUCUGCUUGUGGUUAUGUGCACGUGGGUACAAAGGCCAGAGGAGGGUGUUUGUGUUUUCCGGAGCUGGAGUUACAAGUGUAUGUGAACCACUCAAUGUGGGUGUUGGGAUCCAAACCCACGUCUUCUGGAAUCACUUAAUCACUUAGCUAUCUCUCUAGACCAAAUGAUAAUCUUUUAACUGUAUAUUCUAAUAUAUAAAAGAACCAGAUCCCAAUACUGUACACCCCACAAAACAAGUUAUACUUGUUUGAAAUAAGCUUUAUGUAAUAAUUCAAAGAUAACGCUCUCACAUUCUGCCGCUGGCUUACACUGCGCUGCUUUCUGCUGUUCCGCUGCCUCGUCCUUCUCCGAUUAUAAUGGAAGAAGAAAUUGUCGCACUCAACAUUGACAAUGGCUCCGGCAUGUGCAAAGCUGGCUUUGCUGGUGACGAUGCACCCAGGGCUGUGUUCCUUUCCAUCGUCAGGCGUCCCUGACACCAGGGCAUCAUGGUGGGCAUGGGCUAGAAAGACUCCUACGUGGAUGACAAGGCCCAGAGCAAGAGGGCUAUCCUGAACCCGAAGUAUCCUAUCGAGCACGGCAUUGUCACCAACUGGGAUGACAUGGAGAAGAUCUGGCAUCACACCUUCUACAAUGAGCUACGUGUGGCCUCUGAGGAGCACCCAGUGCUUCUGACUGAGCCCCCCUGAACCCCAAAGCUAACAGAGAGAAGACGCAGAUAAUGUUUGAAACCUUCAGUACCCCAGCCAUGUACGUGGCCAUUCAGGCGGUGCUAUCCUUGUAUGCAUCUGGGUGCACCACUGACAUUGUCAUGGACUCUGGUGAUGGGGUCACACACACAGUGCCCAUCUACAAGGGCUAUGCCCUUCCCCACACCAUCUUGCAUCUGGACCUGGCUGGCCGGGACCUGACAGACUACCUCAUGAAGAUCCUGACUGAAUGGGGCUACAGCUUUACCACCACUGCUGAAAUUGUUCGUGACAUAAAGAACUGGGCUAUGUUGCCCUGGAUUUUGAGCAAGAAAUGGCUACUGCUGCAAUGAGCUGCCUGAUGGGCUGGUGAUCACCAUCGGCAAUGAGCAGUUUCAGUGUCCGGAGGCUCUCUUCCAGUCAUCCUUCCUGGGCAUGGAGUCCUGUGGCAUCCAUGAGAGCACCUUCAACUCCAUCAUGAAGUGUGACGUGGACAUCCUCAAAGACCUGUAUGCCAAUACAGUGCUGUCUGAUGGUACCACCAUGUAUCCAGGCAUUGACAGGAUGCAGGAGGAGAUCACGGCCCUAGCACCGAGCACAAUGAAGAUUAAGAUCAUUGCUCCCCCUGAGCGCAAGUACUCAGUCUGGAUUGGCGCCUCCAUCCUGGCCUCACUGCCCACUUUCCAGCAGAUGUGGAUCAGCAAGCAGGAGUAUGCGGAGUCGGGUCUCUCCAUCAUCCACUGCAAUGCUUCUAGAUGCACUGAGCAGCUGCCAGGCUUGCUGCAUGAGCUGAUUCUGAAGUACCUAUUUGCCCUGUCAAUUGUACACACCUCAUGCCAGCCUCAUGAAAAGAAAUUUGUCCUUGAAGCUUGUAUCUGAUAUCAGCACUGGAUCGUAGGACUUGUUGCUGAUUUUUGACCUUGUAUUCAAGUUAACGGUUCCCUUGGUACAUGUUUAAUACCCUGUGCAUAUCUUGAUUUAGUCCUUAAUUCAUGUGGCUCGGUCCCUUGGUGGCUGGGGAGAGCACGCUGUGGAUAGAAAUCCCCAGCCUGGUGGAUCUUGUGAGCACCAGGUAUACUGUGUAGGGUAUUAACUGACAGCAGACUUCCAGGAUUUCCUGAGGCUUGCAAGGGACCCUGAACCAGUUACCACCCCUUCUUGCCAAUCUAACAGGUUGGGAAAGUCCGAGCCUUAGGACCUAGUUUUCGUUCUCGUUUUUCCCUCCUGACCGCCAUGGGUUGUUACUUGCCUUGAGUUGGGAACGUUUGCAUCGACACCUGAAAAUGUAUUCAUCCUUUUAAUUUAUGUAAGGUUUUUUGUACUCAAUUCUUUAAGAAAUGACAAAUUUUGGUUUUCUACUAUUCAGUGAGAACAUUAGGCCCCAGCAACAUGUCACUGUGUAAAGAAAAAUAAAAGUGCUGCAGUAACUGAAAAAAAAAAAAAAAA